CAGUCUCAGUUAUUAUAUUCUACCCAAACAUGAAAACUUAGCAAGAUGAUUUAUAUUACUCAUUUACCUUGGAAAGUUGAAUUGUCAGUUUGGUUCUCAGAAGAAGAGGUUUUUUUUCUGAAAAAAAGAGGAUUUGAACCCAUGCUACAGAGAUAGUGUGAUACCAAAUCGACUUCACUGCAGUGGUUCCGCUAGACCACACGACCACCUGGGCUUCACAAUGAUAAAGUUUUUGGUGGCUGUGUUUUAUUUCCUCGUCAGUUUUAAUCUCGCAGCGUACUACAGUACAUGAUAUAUAAGGCAUAGAGAUCUUUGCGCUCCAUCAGACCACAGAUGAAUUAUCACGUUGUGAUUGGUUAAACGCCGUCAUGUGGUGACUGAGACCGUAUGGGGUUUGGAACUAAAGAACAUGAAGAAGUAAAAGACUUGAAAAAGCUUACAAUUUUUAAAUAAAUUACAAGCACAGAUAUUCCAGCAGUUCCCAAGUUUAAGAAAAAAGAAAUAGUGAUUGACUAUAGUUUUGUUGUGAUGUACUUCUUGACAGAAGAAUGUGAUCAUAAACACAGUUUUUUUUAAUCAGUAAUUUGGCUGUUAGUCGCUGAACGAAGCGAACGACCACAAGAGCGAAAGCACAGCUGAGGCAGUCCACAAGAGGUUAAGACAGACACAAAAGACCAUAAUUUGUACAAUUAAUCUAGAGGCUUCAGAUUUUUCAAUGAAUUUCUUAUUUUUAUAUGACUUAAAUCAUUGUAAAUUAAGAAAGUUCAACAAGUAUUUACUGUUGCCUUUAUUUAUCUAUUCUUCAGUUUCAAAGCUAACACACAACAGGCAGAGAUGAUAAUUAAGAUAACAGAGACAUAAUUUGAGAAGAUGUUCACACCAAAAAUAUAAAUAAAAAAAAAUCUUCUAAAUGAACUGAUCAUUUUUGUUUUUAAAUGUAUUUUAUUCCUGAUAUUUCAUGUAGUGCUAUGCAGACAUUGUUAAAUUAACUUGAAGUCAUAAAUGUAUGCUAAAAAAUUGCAGGUUAAAACAAAUAUUCAAACAAACACAAACAGCAUUGCAAUGAUUUUUUCAUAAAAAAAAUGUUGUUUCAUAUAAAGCUAAGUAGCAUGUGGCACAAAGUUCCAAUCAGUCCAGAAUUUUGUUUGGGAAUAUACCAUUUUAUAUAUAAGUUGCCCUUUUUUUGUUAUAUAAAACAGUAUAAGGGACGGUAACAAAUGGCACUUUCUGCAAUGGGAAUAAAACAUUUUCUCCAGUUUCAGUACCAUAAAUCUAUGGUGAUUUGAAUUUUUGAUCAGGUAUUAUUUUAUUAAAAAAAAAUAUUUACAUUAAUAUAAGGUCAAUGUCAGAAAAAUGUAAACUUUUUUGCAUCUGACUGAGAAACUUGGAAGGGAGAGGUUUGUGCAGUCAAACAAAAAAAAUCUGACCUUGUAUUGUUUUUAAACUGCAACAUGAAUUGAUACAUUGAUAGCUGUACAAAUUGUAGCACAGAUUUCAAAUUUAAUUUCUUCCCUUAAUGAAUCCUUGAUUAAGAAAAAAAAGUAUUCCAUGAUUGAUAUUGCACAAAAUAUAGCUGUGUUACUAUAUUUAGGAAAUAAAAACAACUAGUUACAGUAAUCAAAAGGAUAUAUAUAUUUUUAGUCUAAGUAAAAUAAUAUUAUGUGUCUGUUUGUAGGUACUGUAUGGUGUUGAUUUUGGUUGCAGUAGUUUAUGAAGAAGUAAAAGUCACAUCACAUUUGAGAUAGAAUAAUUGAUGGAAAUGUCAAAGAGCUAAAGAUUAAUUUAAAGCCCAA